UGCUUUAAGCAACAGGUAAAUUAUAUUUGGCGGAUGUAACGAUUGUAAGGUGUGCAUGUCUGUCUGGCAGAUUCAUAUAACCAUGAUCGCAUUUUAUGGUUCUUUGGUCAAUGCUAAGUUUUCUUAGUUUUUUAUACGGUCAUAUAUUGGUAUGACGUUGGCGUUGUUGUCGUCCGAAGACACAUUGGUUUUCGCACUCUAACUUUAGUUUAAGUGAAUGGAUCUCUAUGAAAUUUUACCAUAAGGAUUGAUUUUGGGGGUUAUGGUACCAACAGUUAAGGAAUUAGGGGCCAAAAAGGGGCCAAAAAUAAGCAUUCUUGUAACUUCCAGACAUAACUUGUGUGUUAGUUUAUGGAUCUCUCUGACAUUGUUCCACAAGGUUCUAUAUCACACAGGGAAUGCUGGGAUUGAUUUUGGGGGUAAUUGCCUCAAAAUAUUAGGAAUUAGGGGCCAAAAAAGGGGCAAAAAACAAGCAUUUUUCUAGUUUCAUGACAAUAACUUGUGUGUAAGUGUAUGGAUCUUUCUGAAAUUGUACUACAAGGUUCCAUAUCACAAAGGGAAAGCUGGAAUUGAGUUUGGGGGUAAUUGCCCAAAACGUUUAGGAAUAAGGGGCCAAAAAGGGGCCAAAAAUAAGCAUUUUUCUAGUUUCCAGACAAUAACUUGUGUUCAAGUGUAAGGAUCUCUCUGAAAUUGUACUGCGAGGUACCAUACCACAAAGGGAAGGCUGGGAUUGAUUUUGGGGGCAAUUGCUUUAAAAUUUUAGGAAUUAGGGGCCCCAAAUGGGGCAAAAAACAAGAAUUUUUCUAGUUUCAUGACAAUAACUUGUGUGUAAGUGUAUGGAUCUUUCUGAAAUUGUACUACAAGGUUCCAUAUCACAAAGGGAAAGCUGGAAUUGAGUUUGGGGGUAAUUGCCCAAAAUGUUUAGCAAAAAGGGGCCAAAAAUAAGCAUUUUUCUAGUUUCCAGACAAUAACUUGUGUUCAAGUGUAUGGAUCUCUCUGAAAUUGUACUGCAAGGUACCAUACCACAAAGGGAAGGCUGGGAUUGAUUUUGGGGGUAAUUGCCUCAAAAUUUUAGGAAUAAGGGGCCAAAAAGGGGCAAAAAACAAGAAUUUUUCUAGUUUCAGGACAAUAACUUGUGUGUAAGUGUAUGGAUCUUUAUGAAAUUGUACUACAAGGUUCCAUAUCACAAAGGGAAAGCUGGGUUUGAGUUUGGGGGUAAUUGCCCUAAACUUUUAGGAAUUUGGGGCCAAAAAAACAAGCAUUUUUCUAGUUUACAGACAAUAACUUGUGUAUAAGUGUAUGGAUCUCUCUGAAAUUGUACUGCAAGGUACCAUACCACAAAGGGAAGGCUGGGAUUGAGUUUGGGGUGAUGAAUCAUAAGGGGGUUCAAAAAAUUGGGGGGGGGGAUUUUUUUCCCCUUUUUUUCCUUUUUUUUUCUUUAAAAUUUUCCAUUUUAAAUUGGUUAUUUCUGAUUUAUAUAUAAAAGCAAAUAAUAAUGAUAUGGUUUGAAUAGGUAAAUUAAAAAUUUUUAAGUUCUUAGACCACAUUCAUUCUGUGUCAGAAACCUAUGCUGUGUCAAUUAUUUAAUCACAAUCCAAAUUCAGUGCUGUAUCAAGCUUGAAUGUUGUGUCCAUACUUGCCCCAACUGUUCAGGGUUCGACCUCUGCGGUCGUAUCAAGCUGCGCCCAGCGGAGCAUUUUAUUCAUUUUAUCAGAUAUUAUAAGCAUAUGUCUACUUGUUGGUGUAUGGAAUGACUACAAGGUGUCAUAUAAAAAUAAGAAGAUGUCUGUCUGCCAAGUUUAAUGUUACUGUGACCUCAUUUUCAUAGAAUAUUGAUAAUAUCAAGCAAAAAUGAUGAGCAAGACAAAAUACAAAUGAUCCAAAAUUGUCAGUUGCCUACUCAUUAUGUAAUAGUAGUUAUUGUCAUUAAAUGAUAAUGUUUACCCUUUUAUGUGUAGGGCAAGAACAUUAAAGAUAAAGGGAAACUAUAAACAAAAGAAAUUAUCAACAAAAAUAGAUUUACAGACGUAAACAAAGCCUAAAUGGUCAGACAUCUUGGUUUUCAUGAUCAUCAUUCAACAGGUCAAUACUGAACAGCAAACCUAAAGUUGAUAUUUUGUCUACAUAGUGUGACUUUUUUAUUAAUUUGAAAUGGAAUGUGUUUUUUUUCCUACAUAAGAAAGAGGAAAUUUCAACAUAAUUACUAUAAACAAAAAGGAGUCAUAUCAUCAUGAUCAUAGAUGCUCAAGAACUUAAUCAUGUAAAUGCAACAAUGUAAUUAUCAAUUGAAAGAAGGGAGGAAUGAAAAAAUAUAUUAGUAUUUUGUUGUCCAAAUGAACUUGCUUUGUCCACUCAUUUAAAUCGCUCCAUCCAAUAAAGAUGUACGGAGGAAGAUUUUUGAAGAACAGAUUGCAUAAAUGUUUUGUCUUAGAAUUGUAGGAAUAUUGUAGUGGAUGAAAUAAUUUAUUUACUUGACUCUUAUAUAGUGGACUGAACUAAUUGUUCAUAGCAAGCUGAAACAAGAAAACUAAAACUUAACAGGAAAAGUGUUUAUUUUAUAAAUUUACAAAUAUAAAUGUAAUAUUAUGAACACCACAAAGGAAUGAGAUUCAAAUCAUUUGCAUAUUCAUGUAUUGCAAUGGAACUAUAACAAAGAAAACUUUACCUCAUAAAAAGAGUAAACUAUUAA